rnacentral:lncRNA from 1 species
GCUGGAGUGCAAUGGCGCGAUCUUGGCUCACUGCAAUAUCUGCCUCCCAGGUUCAUGCGAUUCUCCUGCCUCAGUCUCCCGAGUAGCUGGGAUUACAGAGCUCUUUGCUAAUACCACAUGAUGCUGACUGUAACUGAAAGAAGUUAAACUGUGCUAAGAAACAAAGAGUUUAAAUAGAACUUUUCCUGUACUCAAAUUUCUCUUUUCAUGUUUCUUAUUUGACAAUAUAAAAGAAAAAAUAAACGAACAUUAACACAUUUAAAUGAUUCUUAAGCUAUACUGUCCUCAUAGCAUCAUAAAAUGAUAGAACUUUUGACUCAAAGGAAUCUUAAGAGGUAAGCGGAA